GCACCACAAGAACGCGUGGAGCAUGUGGCUUAAUUUGACUCAACGCGGGAAAUCUUACCGGGUCCGGACACACUGAGGAUUGACAGGCAAUAUCUCAUGGUUAUUAACCCGGUUAUUACAUUUUGUUUAAUCGGUUAUUAAGCAUCGAGUGUUAAAUAUGCUAGUCCUUUCAUGAUUAUGUGAUAGGUGGUGCAUGGCCGUUCUUAGUUCGUGGAGUGAUCUGUCUGCUUAAUUGCGUUUCACUAAGGGCCCAUAAAUUCAAGGUAUGUUAGCUAUCGUCGCUCUAUGGACCCCUUAUACUCGAUUUCGCUUUAAUUAGCGUUAUUUGUUUAAGCGCGCGUCUUUAUUUAAUGAGUUUAAGACACUGCGCAUGCUGUUGGGCUCUGAAAGCAACGAACGUGACCGCAACGUCUUGUUGCCUUAAUAAAGUUGGCUUUAAAUACAAAUUCGUAUUUAAACCGCUUACAGAGGCUAUUUAAAACUAGACGGACCGCUGUUUCUUUUCUUAAACCAGAGGAAGGUUGCGGCAAUAACAGGUCUGUGAUGC
rnacentral:rRNA from 1 species